GGCAAAGUGCCUGAAGAUAAGGACUAUUUUGAUGGGAUAGAUUAUGUGAUAGAUCUCACCUUUGUUC
rnacentral:tRNA from 1 species